rnacentral:rRNA from 1 species
UACGUAGGGUGCAAGCGUUACUCGGAAUCACUGGGCGUAAAGCGUGCGUAGGCGGCUUUGCAAGUCAGGGGUGAAAUCCCAUAGCUUAACUAUGGAACUGCCUUUGAAACUGCAAAGCUAGAAUGUGAGAGGGGAUGGCGGAAUUCCUAAUGUAGAGGUGAAAUUCGUAGAUAUUAGGAGGAACACCCGUGGCGAAAGCGGCCAUCUGGAUCACAAUUGACGCUGAUGUACGAAAGCGUGGGUAGCAAACAGG